GUUUUUUUGUUUGUUGUUUUUCGCAUGUGGCUCCUUUUUUGUUGCUUUUCGUAAUUUGUUCGGGGUGGCCAUGGUGUGAGAUCCAUACAGACUUUGCCUACCAAAUGGAUAUUUUCUCAUCCAUUACAGGUUUCACAAUUGAUCAAUACACUUCAGUGAUCAUCUUUGCGUAAAACAAUAUAUAGUUAUCCCUUUUCUUUUCCACUUCUUUAUUUAAUUGUUAUGUUUGAGAUUUAUUGAACUGUUUCAUCAAUCCUUAUGCCUCCUUGCCUUCAUUUUCAACAGAGGUUAAAGCCUUCAUGGAGCUGUUACGCUUUAUGUAUAGUGGAAAGUUGACAGCAGCAACUGAGCCCACUCCUCCUGUUUAUUUAUUGAUGGCUGCUGACAAAUUUGAGGUCGUUUCCUGCAUGAAGCUUUGCAUUCAGCUUCUCAUGGUCCUGCACUCCUGCCUAUGACUCCAGAAUCUGCAGUUAUGUGCCUAGAUCUCUCAUGUUCCAUUCCAAUGGCAGCAGACCUGACAGAGGCAGCCAAGAAAUUCCUUGCUGAAAGGUACACGGAAUUCCAAUCAACAGAGUUCCAAGAUGAACUUAUGAGGAUCCCUCCUGGUGGGAUUGAGGCCAUCUUAUCAAGGAAUGACUUCGGGGUUGCUUAUGAAGUACUACGACCUGGUUUAUUGGUCCUCUUCAUAUUUUGUGUCAAAUUUUGACCAUAGAUUUAACUAACAAAAUAUUAAUGCAUGUCAUCAAAAUUUAUAUUAUUUGGUUCGUAUUUGAACAUAGUUUUCAAUGGUGUAAUCUUUGGUUACAUGCAUUGAAAUUUUGUUAGUUAAAUCUAUGAUCAAAAUUUGACAUUAAAUACGAAGAGGAUCAAUAAACCAGGAUGGAGGUAGUAGCUGUUUAUGACUUCGUGCUCAGGUGGGUCUAUUCACCGUGACCAAAUUCUGAAGAAAAGUGGAAUAUCUCGAGUUCUCGUUUACAUCCAGUAAUGCGUCUUCGUAUAACCAAUGCUGUUUAUUAUUCUUGCCGUACUGUUGUCUGGGCUGUAAAGCGUGACCAGUGCCGCUCUCUGCAUAUACUGAGAGCAAUAUUUAGUCAACUACUCAGUUUGGAGGAGUAUGUCUUCUCCAUCUCGGUA